rnacentral:tRNA from 1 species
AGGAUAAUAGUUUAAGAAAAACAUUUAAUUUGCAUUUAAAAGAUAUUCCAUAAAUUUAUCUUA